rnacentral:rRNA from 1 species
AGCGAACGCUGGCGGCAUGCCUAACACAUGCAAGUCGAACGAACUCUUCGGAGUUAGUGGCGGACGGGUGAGUAACACGUGGGAACGUGCCUUUUGGUUCGGAAUAACUCAGGGAAACUUGUGCUAAUACCGAAUAUGGCCUUCGGGGGAAAGAUUUAUCGCCAUUAGAGCGGCCCGCGUCUGAUUAGCUAGUUGGUGAGGUAACGGCUCACCAAGGCGACGAUCAGUAGCUGGUCUGAGAGGAUGACCAGCCACACUGGGACUGAGACACGGCCCAGACUCCUACGGGAGGCAGCAGUGGGGAAUCUUGCGCAAUGGGCGAAAGCCUGACGCAGCCAUGCCGCGUGAAUGAUGAAGGUCUUAGGAUUGUAAAAUUCUUUCACCGGGGACGAUAAUGACGGUACCCGGAGAAGAAGCCCCGGCUAACUUCGUG